CCUGGGGCUGUGCUGACUGACCAGGGCUGCCCUGACUGACCAGCGGGGGAGCAGAAAAUACAGAACAAUUUGCCUGUUUUUUAAAAAAAGGCAGGACACCCGAAAGAGGGCUUAAAUAUGGUACUGUCCUGUUAAAA